rnacentral:lncRNA from 1 species
CAGCUUUUGACAUUAUUGAUCAUAGUCUGCUGCUGGAAAAACGUAUGUGUUAUUGCUUUACACCCCCUGCUAUAAUGUGGAUAAAGAGUUACUUGUCUAACAGAACACAGAGGGUGUUCUUUAAUGGAAGCCUCUCAAAUAUAAUCCAGUUACAAUCAGGAAUUCCCCAGGGUAGCUGUUUAAGCCCCUCACUUUUUUACAUUUUUACUAACGACAUGCCAUUGUAAACUGAGUAAAGCCAGAGUUUCUAUGUAUGUGGAUGACUCAACGCUAUACACGUCAGCUACUACAGCGACUGAAAUGACUGCAACACUCAACAAAGAGCUGCAAUUAGUUUCAGAGUGGGUGGCAAGGAAUAAGUUAUCCCUAAAUAUUUCUAAAACUAAAAGCAUUGUAUUUGGAACCAAACACUCACUAAACCCUAAACCUCAACUAAAUCUUGUAAUAAAUAAUGUGGAAAUUGAGCAAGUUCAGUCGUGUGGUCAGGUGCCACAAAAAAUGAGGGCAGCAUGGCUGGCCCUUGGAUGUACACAGAGAGCUAAUAUUAAUAAUAUGCAUGUCAAUCUCUCCUGGCUGAAAGUGGAGGCGAGAUUGUCUUCAUCACUACUUUUAUUUACAAGAGGUAUUGACAUGUUGAAUGCACCGAGCUGUCUGUCUAAACUACUGGCACACAGCUCGGACACCCUUGCGUACCCCACAAGACAUGCCACAAGAGGUCUCUUCACAGUCCCCAAGUCCAGAACAGACUAUGGGAGGCACACAGUAUUAUAUAGAGCCAUGACUACAUGGAACUCUAUUCCACAUCAAGUAACUGACACAAGCAGUAAAAUUAGAUAUAAAAAACAGAUUAAAAAACACCUUAUGGAACAGCGGGGACUGUGAAGCAACACAAAUAUUGGCACAGACACAUGCAUACACACACACACACACACACCACACACAAUAACAUACGCACUAUACAUACACAUGGAUUUAGUACUGUAAAUAUGUGGUAGUGGUGGAGUAGGGGCCUGAGGGCACAGAGUGUGUUGUGAAAUCUGUGAAUGUAUUGUAAUGUUUUAAUAUUGUAUAAACUGCCUUAAUUUUGCU